rnacentral:rRNA from 1 species
CCUACGGGAGGCUGCAGUGGGGGAUAUUGGACAAUGGGGGAAACCUUGAUCCAGCGACGCCGCGUGAGUGAAGAAGUAUUUCGGUAUGUAAAGCUCUAUCAGCAGGGAAGAAAGAAAUGACGGUACCUGAGUAAGAAGCCCCGGCUAACUACGUGCCAGCAGCCGCGUUAAUACGUAGGGGGCAAGCGUUAUCCGGAAUUACUGGGUGUAAAGGGAGCGUAGACGGUAAUGCAAGUCUGGAGUGAAAGGCGGGGGCCCACCCCCCGGACUGCUCUGGAAACUGUGUAACUGGAGUGCAGGAGAGGCAGGCGGAAUUCCUAGUGUAGCGGUGAAAUGCGUAGAUAUUAGGAGGAACACCAGUGGCGAAGGCGGCCUGCUGGACUGUAACUGACGUUGAGGCUCGAAAGCGUGGGGAGCAAACAGGAUUAGAUACCCUAGUAGUC